rnacentral:hammerhead_ribozyme from 1 species
AUCCAGCUGACGAGUCCCACUUAGGACGAAAUGCGCUUUAUCCUGGAU